CUUGGUCAUUUAGAGGAAGUAAAAGUCGUAACAAGGUCUCCGUUGGUGAACCAGCGGAGGGAUCAUUACAGAGUUACCUAAACUCCCAAACCCUUUGUGAACCUUACCACCGUUUCCUCGGCGCGAGCUGCGGCUACCCGGGAGCUACCCUGCAGCUACCCUGCAGUAGGGGGGCCUACCCUGUAGCCGGCCAACGGCCCGCCGAAGGACCGCUAAACUCUUGUUUGAACCACUGUAUCUCUGAACACCUAACUGAAAUAAGUUAAAACUUUCAACAACGGAUCUCUUGGUUCUGGCAUCGAUGAAGAACGCAGCGAAAUGCGAUAAGUAAUGUGAAUUGCAGAAUUCAGUGAAUCAUCGAAUCUUUGAACGCACAUUGCGCCCGCCAGUAUUCUGGCGGGCAUGCCUAUUCGAGCGUCAUUUCGACCCCUUAAGCCCCUGUUGCUUAGCGUUGGGACUCUGCGCCUCAGGGCGCAGUUCCCGAAAGUUAGUGGCGGAGUUAGGGUACACUCUCAGCGUAGUAAUCUCUUCUCGCUCGUGUGGUGGCCCUGGCUGCUGGCCGUUAAACACCCCCCCGCCCCGCGCGGACAAGUGGUUGACCUCGGAUUAGGUAGGAAUACCCGCUGAACUUAAGCAUAUCAAUAAGCGGAGGA
rnacentral:rRNA from 1 species